UAUUGAUUAUCUAACUUCGUUUGUAUGUACAGUUGUAUUUAGGUAAGUGUUAUACAUGUUAUCUAGGAUUUGGAAGACGGAAGCACAUCAAGAUCGAGUUCUUAAACUGCUUAUGCCACAAAGCAAUGCGUUAUCUCAGUUUAGGUUGCAAGGGCUGUUCUCCUUUUAGCGUGAUUUAAAGUUGCAUCACCCAUCGAUGAUGGCAAGGAUGUUUUCGGUGGCAGCCAAUCACUGGAUAAAGACGACGGUGUCUUCAUGGACUUGAGAAUGUAGUGGAGGAAGAUGCCCUAACUGCUUCGGCGAAUGUUUCUACAAAAAAUUCAUGCUCAGAAAUGAACCGAUAGCGAGGACGGAGAGCAUAGCGGAUUCAAGCUGAGAAACAACAGGGAGUAGUCUGAGCUAGCAAUGUUUGGUGUUUCUCGGUGAAAAGUCAUUGGUGGAUGCUUUUUUGCUUCAGUAAGCCUCGAUUUCAUUCUCAUUAGCCUGUUCUUUUCUUUGAUUUGUGUUGUAUUUUAGUUAUAUUUUGAGAUGGAUAUCUUGCAAUAAAAAGUUUCCAAGCAAAAAAUAUUAAUAUAAAACAUGGAUUUGGUGGUAUGAGGUUUAGUUAGGAGAAUUUGACUUGUGAUGAUAU